rnacentral:rRNA from 1 species
GAUUAGCUAGUUGGCAGGGUAACGGCCUACCAAAGCGACGAUCAGUAGCCGACCUGAGAGGGUGACCGGCCACAUUGGGACUGAGACACGGCCCAAACUCCUACGGGAGGCAGCAGUGGGGAAUAUUGCACAAUGGGGGAAACCCUGAUGCAGCGACGCCGCGUGGAGGAAGAAGGUCUUCGGAUUGUAAACUCCUGUUGUUGAGGAAGAUAAUGACGGUACUCAACAAGGAAGUGACGGCUAACUACGUGCCAGCAGCCGCGGUAAAACGUAGGUCACAAGCGUUGUCCGGAAUUACUGGGUGUAAAGGGAGCGCAGGCGGGAAGACAAGUUGGAAGUGAAAUCUAUGGGCUCAACCCAUAAACUGCUUUCAAAACUGUUUUUCUUGAGUAGUGCAGAGGUAGGCGGAAUUCCCGGUGUAGCGGUGGAAUGCGUAGAUAUCGGGAGGAACACCAGUGGCGAAGGCGGCCUACUGGGCACCAACUGACGCUGAGGCUCGAAAGUGUGGGUAGCAAACAGGAUUAGAUACCCUGGUAGUCCACACCGUAAACGAUGAUUACUAGGUGUUGGAGGAUUGACCCCUUCAGUGCCGCAGUUAACACAAUAAGUAAUCCACCUGGGGAGUACGACCGCAAGGUUGAAACUCAAAGGAAUUGACGGGGGCCCGCACAAGCAGUGGAGUAUGUGGUUUAAUUCGACGCAACGCGAAGAACCUUACCAAGUCUUGACAUCCCUUGACAGGCAUAGAAAUAUGUUUUCUCUUCGGAGCAAGGAGACAGGUGGUGCAUGGUUGUCGUCAGCUCGUGUCGUGAGAUGUUGGGUUAAGUCCCGCAACGAGCGCAACCCUUAUGGUCAGUUACUACGCAAGAGGACUCUGGCCAGACUGCCGUUGACAAAACGGAGGAAGGUGGGGAUGACGUCAAAUCAUCAUGCCCUUUAUGACUUGGGCUACACACGUACUACAAUGGCGUUAAACAAAGAGAAGCAAGACCGCGAGGUGGAGCAAAACUCAGAAACAACGUCCCAGUUCGGACUGCAGGCUGCAACUCGCCUGCACGAAGUCGGAAUUGCUAGUAAUCGUGGAUCAGCAUGCCACGGUGAAUACGUUCCCGGGCCUUGUACACACCGCCCGUCACACCAUGAGAGCCGGGGGG